UACGGAGGGGGCGAGCGUUAUUCGGAAUUAUUGGGCGUAAAGGGCGCGUAGGCGGCUUUCUAAGUCAAAGGUGAAAUCCCUCGGCUCAACUGAGGAACUGCCUUUGAAACUGGAAAGCUUGAGGCCGGGAGAGGGUAGCGGAAUUCCCAGUGUAGCGGUGAAAUGCGUAGAUAUCUGGAGGAACACCGGUGGCGAAGGCGGCAUCCUGGACCGGUAUUGACGCUGAGGAGCGAAAGCCAGGGGAGCAAACGGG
rnacentral:rRNA from 1 species